UACAGGGGGUGCAAACGUUGCUCGGAAUUACUGGGCGUAAAGCGUGCGUAGUCGGUUAUUUAAGUCGGGUGUGAAAUCCCCGGGCUCAACCUGGGAACUGCAUUUGUGACUGCAUAGCUAGAGUACGGUAGAGGGGGAUGGAAUUCCGCGUGUAGCAGUGAAAUGCGUAGAUAUGCGGAGGAACACCGAUGGCGAAGGCAAUCCCCCUGGACCUGUACUGACGCUCAUGCACGAAAGCGUGGGGAGCAAACAGG
rnacentral:rRNA from 1 species